rnacentral:rRNA from 1 species
CCUACGGGGGGCAGCAGUGGGGAAUAUUGGACAAUGGGGGGAACCCUGAUCCAGCCAUGCCGCGUGUGUGAAGAAGGCCCUCGGGUUGUAAAGCACUUUCAGUGAGGAAGAACGCCUGGUGGUUAAUACCCAUCAGGAAAGACAUCACUCACAGAAGAAGCACCGGCUAACUCCGUGCCAGCAGCCGCGGUAAUACGGAGGGUGCGAGCGUUAAUCGGAAUUACUGGGCGUAAAGCGCGCGUAGGUGGCUUGAUAAGCCGAUUGUGAAAGCCCCGGGCUCAACCUGGGAACGGCAUCCGGAACUGUCAAGCUAGAGUGCAGGAGAGGAAGGUAGAAUUCCCGGUGUAGCGGUGAAAUGCGUAGAGAUCGGGAGGAAUACCAGUGGCGAAGGCGGCCUUCUGGACUGACACUGACACUGAGGUGCGAAAGCGUGGGUAGCAAACAGGAUUAGAUACCCGAGUAGUCC